rnacentral:rRNA from 1 species
AGUAACACGUGGAUAACCUGCCUUAUACUGGGGGAUAACAGCCAGAAAGUGGCUGCUAAUACCGCAUAAGCGCACGGCGCCGCAGUGCGCAGUGUGAAAAACUCCGGUGGUAAUAAGAUGGAUCCGCGCCUGAUUAGCUAGUUGGCGGGGCAGCGGCCCACCAAGGCGACGAUCAGUAGCCGGCCUGAGAGGGCGACCGGCCACAUUGGGACUGAGACACGGCCCAAACUCCUACGGAAGGCAGCAG